rnacentral:rRNA from 14 species
UGGAAAGUCCAAUCAUAGAGGGUGAUAAUCCCGUAAGCGAAAACAAGAGCACGUCAGCUGUAUCCUGAGUACGAUCCAACACGAGAAAUUGGGUCGGAAUCCGCGGGGACCACCCCGUAAGGCUAAAUACACGUUGAUGACCGAUAGUGAACGAGUACCGUGAGGGAAAGGUGAAAAGUACCCCGGGAGGGGAGUGAAAUAGAACCUGAAAUCGUAGACUUACAAGCUGUGGUAGCUCCAUAUGUGAGUAACUGCAUGCCUUUUGUAUAAUGAGCCGGCGAGUUACUUUGUGUUGCAAGGUUAAGAGAGUUAAUCUCGAAGCCGUAGCGAAAGCGAGUCCGAAGUGGGCGUUGAGUAAUGCGGAGUAGACCCGAAGCCGUGGUGAUCUAUCCAUGGGCAGGUUGAAAGUCGGGUAAAACCGACUGGAGGACCGAACCGUUGUAUGUUGAAAAAUACUCGGAUGACCUGUGGAUAGGGGUGAAAGGCCAACCAAACCCGGCGAUAGCUGGUUCUCCCCGAAAUAGCUUUAGGGCUAGCGUCAUGCGUUCAGUUGGGGGGGUAGAGCACUGAUUGGAUUAGGGGGCCUACCAGCCUACCAAACCCUGUCAAACUCCGAAUACCCCAACUCCAGAGCAUGGCAGUCAGACUGUGUGGGAUAAGCUUCAUAGUCGAAAGGGAAACAGCCCAGACCAUCGUCUAAGGCCCCCAAGUUGAUGCUAAGUGGUAAAGGAAGUGAGGACGCUCAGACAACCAGGAUGUUGGCUUAGAAGCAGCCACCA